CUGGGGAGGCGACGGAACCGUCGGAAGACCCCGUCGGCAACAGUCUCCGCGAAGCGGUUUGCAUGCGCCUGCGUCUGCUCCAUCAGGAGUUUUUGUCGCCUUUUGUCGCGCUCCUUCCGAGAUACUUCCUGCGCGCGCCGCGCCGCAUGCAGUCGCGCAAGCAUCUUCAUGUUCUCCUGCCUUCCGAAGCUGGGAGACGCGAGUUUAGAGAGAGAGGCGAGGAGCGACCCGGGGCUUCGUAGGUAUUCGCCAGACACAGAGACACCGGCACUCCCCGAGUGGCUCAGACCGAGGCGCUGGAGAUUCAUUUCAAACGUUUCAAUGUCUUUUUUGACAGCCUCCCGAGUGUCUCGCUCCUUCGCUUGAGCUCGACUCAGCCGCUCCUCUCGCACUCGGGCUUCCAGGAGCACCCGGCGACGAAGAAUCUCCGUCUCAACUUCUCUUCGCUUCUCUCUCUCAUCUCGCUCUCCUUGCCCUCGCUGUCCUCGUUGUUCUUCGCUUUGUUCUCCUCUCCGUUCAUCUCGUUCUUCUCCUUUGUCUUUCUUAUCUCGGGUGGAUUUCGAGGACACCCUGCCGCUUCGGUUUGCGCCUGGCGCGGUCGGGGCUUCAAUGUCGCCUUCUGCUCUGUGUCUUCCCUGCUCCCGGUCUCUUCUGGUUGUGGAUUCUCGCUGUGGGAAGUGUGUGUGGCUGGUUCGCGAGAGAGGCGAGGCAGAAACCUCGUGCGAAGUUUCGUUUUUGAUCGCAGCGUUCGUCCGCGUCUGUGACUGCCUGUCCCCAGAUGUCCACGAGGAUUUGCCUAUCUCGACUUUGCUCAGAACCGGGUGAGUCUCCGCCUCGGUGCUCGUCUUGGUGAUCUCCUUCAGGCGCGCUUCGACGCAGCGCGCUUGGAAGGCCUCAAAGGCGGGAGCGUGUGCGGCAGGUCUCAGGACUCGCGCGAGAUCUGACGGGGUUCGGCCACAGUUUCUGGAGAAGCGACUGAGAGCGACUUUCAGCUGAAACAGCACACGCAGAGCUGCGCCCUCGCGCGCCUCAAUAACCGCCUGCAUCUUGACGGAAUCGAACUUGAUGUCCAGGCGACGAAAGACCGGCUCCAAGAGACAAAAAUUCCUCACCACCGCACUCGCUGCGGAACUGUCUACGAAUCCGCUGAUGUUGUCCAGCUGCUUCACAGCCACCAGCAACUCGCCGAAGAGGAAGCCGGAGGCAAAGUCGCUCUCCAAAUGCACCACCUUCCUCGACAGAGGAAAACUGUUUACCCACGCUAGCAUCAAGUCCGCCAUGUCCUUCAAAAUUCGCAGAGAAAAACGAGGAGACAGGGGCAGGGCACUGACCGACGGAGGGUGCGACGCAGCGCCCUAGCGGCGAGAUUGACCGAAUCUUUGAGUUUCUCCGACGUGCGACAGGAGACUCGCUCGCAGGGCGGAGAGAUGAGAGAAGGAAGGAACGUGAGGCCAGGAAAGAAUUCAGAACAGAAAGUGUUGAAGGAAGUGAGGAAAUGAGGGGAGGCGGAAAAGAGACAGUCAGUGGGGGAAACGCGCGGAAGUGGAUCAGCGGACAGAAAGACAAGAGAGCGAAUAUGUCAUGCAGUGCGAAGAAACAAACACGAAAUCGAGAGAGGCGACAGCAACGUGUCGGGAGCUCUCGGGGAGACAACAGUUGGUUGCGAUUCUUAAAGAGAGAAAAACGUUCUUCGUCAAAGCUGAAAGGCAGUGACGUUCACAGGUUCCUGACUUCGGAGAUGCAGCUCGGACAACGCACAGCAAGAAGGCAGUUGCCGUCUAGGAACCACAGACAGGUUGGAGGUCGGCUCUGUCGAAAGGGAGAGAAAAUUGAAAACCAUAGCUGUGCCAAUGCGCCAUUUCGUUUCUCCUUUUAAGUCGAGAAAAAGCAGACUUUUCUGUCACUUAAAACGAACAGAAAAGAGAGUCUUAGCUGCGCAGAGUUUUUAUGUAUAACUUCUGGGAACCUCUUGAACUCAGGACAACCUCAACUUUCGUUGUUCUAACUUUCCCUAAACCCUCUGCCGUUGUGUUCCCCUGUUGUUCUGCCUGUUUUCCGAUUAGACAACGGAUAAAGGGUUUUGCUCCUCACGUGCCUACGUUGUUUCCAGAACAAACUCCGUCUGCAUUCGUUCCUACGAGAACAUCUUUUGCACACCAUCCGUGACCUUUGUUUCCUCCAAAGACUGGAGAAAGCCAAGCGCAACCGGAGAAUCCAGGGAAGCGACGCGGCCCCGCUUGGUUUAGGUGUCUUGUUUGGUUUUUCCAUUCCCACAGAAGAAGCGUCCGUCCAGACACGAAAGCGUGUGAGGCUGUGAAGACACACCCACAAAUCCACGGAAUUUCCUUGCCGCCGACCCGGAAAAUACAGAAAGAGGCACAGAAAGGCGCAAGGGUCACGAAACAGUCCAGCGUUUCCUGGGGGGCCCCGCGCU
rnacentral:lncRNA from 1 species